CCCUUAGAUGUUCUGGGCCGCACGCGCGCUACACUGACGAUGGCAACGAGUUUUUCCUUCGCCGAAAGGUGUGGGUAAUCUUUUGAAACAUCGUCGUGCUGGGGAUAGAUCAUUGCAAUUUUUGAUCUUGAACGAGGAAUUCCUAGUAAGCGCGAGUCAUCAGCUCGCGUUGAUUACGUCCCUGCCCUUUGUACACACCGCCCGUCGCUCCUACCGAUACCGGGUGAUGUGCUGAACCUGUUGGACUGAAUUUCAGAAAGACAUGUAAAGCUUAUCACCUAGAGGAAGGAGAAGUCGUAACA
rnacentral:rRNA from 1 species